AGCUUUCUAAAAUCUCUUUAGGGGUGUGCGUAGGCUCCUGUGUCUAUGCCUGCUUUUGACUGCCCAGUUGAAGCCUCUUCCUAUGCCUUUUAAAAUUUCACGCACUAUAAGGAGGAAGAGCUCAGGGCUCCCAAAACUUUUUAUUUAGAGGGAAGAAUGCUAGGGAGAUGGGUAUGCAGAGGGUUGACCAAAUUGGAAGAAAAUAUUUAUUCUGUAGUUUGGUGUUGGAAAAGGGAAUUUUCCAAUCAGCCACACCUCAGUGUUGCGGCAAAAUAAUUCUUGGCUCCCCUGGAAACGCAUGGGCAAGGUAGGGCAGAGCUGCUGCUGCUGAUACUGCCACCACCCUGGGCUUCCUGCUGACUCUGGGCUACUCCCUGGGGACAACAGAUUUGCAUUGACGUCCGGGGCUGUCCAGAGGCCCUCAAGAGCCAGUUGUGAGCUGAGCCCAGUAUGGGAAAGAUCUACCUUCUGGAAGCUACUACUACGUGGUGCUUGGAAAGGAGGACUCAGGAGAGUGCAGCUUGCUCUGUGAGUGGGUGACAACCUCUUGGCGACUCAGGCUCAGCUGAGGAUGGUGCCAGUGUGCCGGAGACAGCCGUCAUACUGCCGGAUAGAGUGGCUCACUUGCAUGUAUUUGGAACAAAAAAAGGAGAUGCCUGGCAGCCCCGCUCUCUGCAGGUGCUGUUGAGCCACCAAUUUUUGUGGUUUUGUGACCACAAGUGCUGACUGAUGCGACAUGACCCCAGUCUUGUCAGUGAAUCAUCACCAGGCUGCUUACUGGAAACUGGAUGCAGCAAGGAAAUAGGAUUUAACCGCUCUCUGCCUCCCAGGGAGCCCUGAAAUCAGCAUUCCCAGAGGAAAGAAGAUGGCCAUCUGGGCUUGGCUUCCGGCUCCCCCCAUCUGGCUGGAACACACAUCAGUCACGCCCUGUGUAACCUCCUCUGUGCCUUUCCCAUGGAGCACUGUGUCAUAUCACAAGUAGAACUACAAGAAGAUAUUUCUCCUCAGGGCAGAGGCUGGGUCUUCCGAUUGAAUCUCCCUUCUUUCUUCAUUGAGAUCCUCUUCUUCUGGAAGCUGGUUUCACAUGGUGGCUUAGAUUUUUCCAUCUUUGUAUCUAGCACCAUUUGAAAUCAGUGUUUUAGGAGUAAGAAUUGCAGCACAGCCAAGGGUGGACUGCAGAGGAACUGCUGCUCAUGGAACUGGCUCCUCUCCUCUUGCCACUUGAGUCUGUUCGAGAAGUCCAGGGAAGAACUUGAAGAGCAAAAUACACUCUUGAGUUUGUUGGGUUUUGGGAGAGGUGACAGUAGAGAAGGGGGUUGUGUUUAAAAUAAACACAGUGGCUUGAGCAGGGGCAGAGGUUGUGAUGCUAUUUCUGUUGACUCCUAGCAGCCAUCACCAGCAUGAAUGUGUUCGUAGGGCCUUUGAGUGUGGCGAUUGUCAUAUUCUGUUGGAUAACAAUGUAUUGGGUGUCGAUUGUCAUGGGGCAGGGGAGAGGGCAGUACACCUGGAGGACCAUUUUGUCCACAUCGACACCAUCAGUCUGCUCUUAGAGGAUGCCCUGGAGUAUUCGGCGUUGAUUGCGGGGCACCCGAAAUCAGACUUGCCACCUGGACUGUCGAGGUGCAGACCCUGGGAGCACCACUGGCCCAUCUCUUACACAGGCUGACCGAUUUCUCCUGGUGUUCAGAGUCUGUUUUUGUCUAGCACCAUUUGAAAUCGGUUAUGAUGUAGGGGGAAAAGCAGCAGCCUCGAAGCCUCAUGCCAACUCUGGGCAGCAGCAGCCUGUGGUUUCCUGGAAGAUGGAUGGGCAGAGAAUAGGGAAGGAAGAUCAUGCUUUUCCCUACUAACUUCUGUAACUGCAUGUAUGAUACAUUAUUGCAGAGGUAAGAGAUAGUUUAAUGGAUUUUUAAAAACAAAUUACUAUAAUUUAUCUGAUGUUCUCUAGUUGCAUUUUGCUGAAAUGUAGUGCUGUUCUAAAUUCUGUAAAUUGAUUGCUGUUGAAUUAUCUUUCUGUUGAGAAGAGUCUAUUCAUGCAUCCUGACCUUAAUAAAUACUAUGUUCAGUUUAUCAU
rnacentral:lncRNA from 1 species